rnacentral:rRNA from 1 species
UACGAAGGGGGCUAGCGUUGCUCGGAAUCACUGGGCGUAAAGGGUGCGUAGGCGGGUCUUUAAGUCAGGGGUGAAAUCCUGGAGCUCAACUCCAGAACUGCCUUUGAUACUGAGGAUCUUGAGUUCGGGAGAGGUGAGUGGAACUGCGAGUGUAGAGGUGAAAUUCGUAGAUAUUCGCAAGAACACCAGUGGCGAAGGCGGCUCACUGGUCCGAUACUGACGCUGAGGCACGAAAGCGUGGGUAGCAAACGGG